CCUACGGGCGGCUGCAGUGGGGAAUAUUGGACAAUGGGGGGAACCCUGAUCCAGCCAUGCCGCGUGUGUGAAGAAGGCCCUCGGGUUGUAAAGCACUUUCAGUGAGGAAGAACGCCUGGUGGUUAAUACCCAUCAGGAAAGACAUCACUCACAGAAGAAGCACCGGCUAACUCCGUGCCAGCAGCCGCGGUAAUACGGCAGGGUGCGAGCGUUAAUCGGAAUUACUGGGCGUAAAGCGCGCGUAGGUGGCUUGAUAAGCCGGUUGUGAAAGCCCCGGGCUCAACCUGGGAACGGCAUCCGGAACUGUCAAGCUAGAGUGCAGGAGAGGAAGGUAGAAUUCCCGGUGUAGCGGUGAAAUGCGUAGAGAUCGGGAGGAAUACCAGUGGCGAAGGCGGCCUUCUGGACUGACACUGACACUGAGGUGCGAAAGCGUGGGUAGCAAACAGGAUUAGAUACCCUAGUAGUC
rnacentral:rRNA from 1 species